GACGAACGCUGGCGGCGUGCCUAAUACAUGCAAGUCGAACGAGCGCGACCGGUGCUUGCACUGGCCAAUCUAGUGGCGAACGGGUGAGUAACACGUGGGUAACCUGCCCAUCAGAGGGGGAUAACAUCCGGAAACGGAUGCUAAAACCGCAUAGGUCUUCGAACCGCAUGGUUUGAAGAGGAAAAGAGGCGCAAGCUUCUGCUGAUGGAUGGACCCGCGGUGCAUUAGCUAGUUGGUGAGGUAACGGCUCACCAAGGCCGUGAUGCAUAGCCGACCUGAGAGGGUGAUCGGCCACAUUGGGACUGAGACACGGCCCAAACUCCUACGGGAGGCAGCAGUAGGGAAUCUUCCGCGAUGGACGCAAGGCUGACGGAGCAACGCCGCGUGAGUGAAGAAGGUUUUCGGAUCGUAAAACUCUGUUGUUAGAGAAGAACAAGAGCUAGAGUAACUGUUAGCGCCUUGACGGUAUCUAACCAGGAAGCCACGGCUAACUACGUG
rnacentral:rRNA from 1 species